UUGUAGUCAAUAUUACUUUUACUUACCUUUCUUGAUGGAAAAAAAAUAAACCUUGUCUUUUAGAGAAUACAGUGGGGUAUUAUUUACAUUAAUUCAUAUGGCUUGGUGAAAAAAAUGUGCUAACUCCUUUACUUAAUGGGAUUCUUCCCCUGUGGCAGUGCAAACGGCUAGAGCAGGAGCUUCAUCAUCUGAAAGAGCAGAACCAGACUUCAGCAAACAACAUGAGACAUCUGACUGCUGAAAACAAUCAAGAACGUGCUCUGAAGGCAAAGUUGUUAUCAAUGCAUCAAGCAAAAGAAACUGCAGUUGAACAAUACAAGAAACUGGAAGAAGAAAUUCAGACACUACAAGUUUACUACAGUUUACACAAAUCUUUAUCUCAAGAAGAAAACCUAAAGGAUCAGUUUAACCAUACCCUUAGUACCUAUGAAGAAGCUUUGAAAAACAGAGAGAACAUUGUUUCCAUCACUCAACAACAAAAUGAGGAACUGGCUACCCAACUGCAGCAAGCUCUGACAGAGCGAGCAAACAUGGAAUUACAGCUUCAGCAUGCAGUGGAAACCUCCCAGGUGGCCAAUGAAAAAGUUCAGAAGUUGGAAAGGCUGGUGGAUGUCCUGAGGAAGAAGGUUGGAACAGGGACUAUGAGGACAGUGAUCUGA
rnacentral:lncRNA from 1 species